CAGCAGCCGCGGUAAUACCAGCAGCCCAAGUGGUGGUCGCGAUUAUUGGGCCUAAAGCGCUCGUAGCCGGGCCGGUAGGUCCCUUGUGAAAUCAGACGGCCUAACCGUUCGGCGUGCAAGGGAUACUGUCGGUCUUGAGGCCGGGAGACGUCCGAGGUACUCCGGGGGUAGCGGUGAAAUGUUCUGAUCCUCGGGGGACCACCGGUGGCGAAGGCGUUCGACGAGAACGGGCCUGACGGUGAGGGGCGAAGGCUAGGGGAGCAAACGGGAUUAGAUACCCCAGUAGUCCCUGUCUCUUAUU
rnacentral:rRNA from 1 species